CUGCAUAAAUCAAGGAAGAAUUGACAUAUUAACAGUGUUCCCCGGGGGCCCAGUGUGCAAUGGCUGCAAACAGUAUCCUCCUUGGUAAUGUGUGGGUUGGCCUAAGAAACCUUAGAGACAGCC
rnacentral:snoRNA from 3 species